UACGUAGAGGGCAAGCGUUGUCCGGAUUUAUUGGGCGUAAAGAGCGUGUAGGCGGCCAUACAGGUCCGUUGUGAAAACUGGAGGCUUAACCUCCAGACGUCGAUGGAAACCGUAUGGCUAGAGUCCGGAAGAGGAGAGUGGAAUUCCUGGUGUAGCGGUGAAAUGCGCAGAUAUCAGGAAGAACACCCGUGGCGAAGGCGGCUCUCUGGGACGGUACUGACGCUGAGACGCGAAAGCGUGGGGAGCGAACAGG
rnacentral:rRNA from 1 species